rfam:Medicago truncatula strain A17 unplaced genomic scaffold scaffold1266, whole genome shotgun sequence.
AUGUAACCAACUUUUCACUUUUUAGAUUCAUUCAAUAAAUGAUGUAUGUGGUCUAUAAUAUGAACCACAUACAUAAUUUAUUAAAUGAAUCUAAAAAGUGAAAAAUUGGUUACAU